CCUGAUGCAGCGACGCCGCGUGGGGGAUGAAGGCCUUCGGGUUGUAAACCCCUUUCAGCAGGGAAGAAGCGAAAGUGACGGUACCUGCAGAAGAAGCGCCGGCUAACUACGUGCCAGCAGCCGCGGUAAUACGUAGGGCGCAAGCGUUGUCCGGAAUUAUUGGGCGUAAAGAGCUCGUAGGCGGCUUGUCGCGUCUGCUGUGAAAGCACGAGGCUCAACCUCGUGUCUGCAGUGGGUACGGGCAGGCUAGAGUGUGGUAGGGGAGACUGGAAUUCCUGGUGUAGCGGUGGAAUGCGCAGAUAUCAGGAGGAACACCGAUGGCGAAGGCAGGUCUCUGGGCCACUACUGACGCUGAGGAGCGAAAGCGUGGGGAGCGAACAGGAUUAGAUACCCUGGUAGUCCACGCCGUAAACGGUGGGCACUAGAUGUGGGGCUUAUUCCAUGAGUUCCGCGUCGCAGCUAACGCAUUAAGUGCCCCGCCUGGGGAGUACGGCCGCAAGGCUAAAACUCAAAGGAAUUGACGGGGGCCCGCACAAGCGGCGGAGCAUGCGGAUUAAUUCGAUGCAACGCGAAGAACCUUACCAAGGCUUGACAU
rnacentral:rRNA from 1 species